GGAAUAUGUUCAUCAAAUGUUUGGAUGAAAACUGACAUGGAACCUAAAAGCUGAUUCCUAAUAGCACUGUAAUUAGAGAAGCCCUGUGGAGACUUGGGGACCAGGUGAAAUAUAUUAUCAGUAAUUGUAAAACCAUAGGAGGGAAUGCAGAGGCAGCAGUAGUAGCUGGACUAUUUAAGGACAAGGAAGGCUUUUACAUUGCUAGGGAUAAUUAAGUUGGCUAUAACCUUCUGGCUCUUGAUUACAUCUGGUUAUUUGUAAGGGCAUGGUUGAAAAUGAAUCUUCAGAGAUCAAAAAUGUAUAUGGUCAUUCUACCCUCUGAGCUUUUGGAACAGUUUUCCCUUAAAGGCUGAUGAUAAUCAUUGUUCAGAUACUGCUCAGGCUGUAUUGAUUAUUACUCUGAGACAGUACUAAAUCAUUCUAAGGAGAAGUUUGAGAAUUCUAUGAGAAUCCAACAGGACAAGAGCCAACCAGUUCUCUUUCCUUUGUCACUGUGGUGAGUUUGGUGCAGUUGUGGUACAAGCUUGGAAGGCAAAGUAUAGUAAUUGUUGGAUAGUCCCUUAGCCAGUACAGACUCUUCAGAUGUUGUGGUGGUUAUUCCUCCAUCAGCUACACUUUCAUCCUCAGUAUUGUACUGCCACCCCAGUUCUCCAAUUUGCCUUUUUGUAGUUUGGAUUGAUCUUGAGUAAAUAAAUUAAUUUAAGCAGUACUGUAAUUUUUGUUAUAUUGGGAUGACCCAAUCAAGAAAAAUUCGGAUCUCUACCAUUUUUGAAAAUCCCUGCUAAAAAGGCACAAGGCCUUUGAAGAACUAAAGGCCAAAUAUCUGAAGAAGGUGGCUGUAAAAAAAAAAAAAAAAAGUUUUGGAAAAUUACCUAUGAAAAAA